CCUACGGGGUGCACCAGUGGGGAAUUGUUCGCAAUGGGCGCAAGCCUGACGACGCAACGCCACGUGGGGGAUGAAGGUCUUCGGAUUGUAAACCCCUGUUGGGUGGGACGAGCACUGUCGUGGUGAACAGCCAUGGCAACUGACGGUACCACCCGAGGAAGCCCCGGCUAACUCUGUGCCAGCAGCCGCGGUAAUACAGAGGGGGCAAGCGUUGUUCGGAAUUACUGGGCGUAAAGGGCGCGUAGGCGGCCUGUUAAGUCGGACGUGAAAUCCCUCGGCUCUACCGGGGAACUGCGUCUGAUACUGGCGGGCUUGAGUUCGGGAGAGGGAUGUGGAAUUCCAGGUGUGGCGGUGAAAUGCGUAGAUAUCUGGAGGAACACCGGUGGCGAAGGCGGCAUCCUGGACCGACACUGACGCUGAGGCGCGAAAGCCAGGGGAGCACACGGGAUUAGAUACCCCUGUAGUC
rnacentral:rRNA from 1 species